rnacentral:rRNA from 1 species
AUGCCAUCCAGUCUAGAGAGUAAAAAAAUGAUAAGUAAAAAGGAAACAGUAGCCUGCACUACUAGUACUUUACUCGUUGAACCCAGCUCGUUCCUCUCCUCGUCUUCUCUGCUAUCCCAAGAACAGAACCAGCCACCCACCUCUCUCUCUCUCCCCAAGAACAGAGCAUGGCCGCCGCCGCCUCGAUCUGCCCCGUCCGGGCAUCUCCGGCGACACGGUGGACACCUACAGAUUCUCCUCGUCUCCCUCUAUCAUUUCCCCCUAUUUCUUUUAUCCGCCGCCGCCAAAAACGUCGCCACCACUCAAUCCUAGCGCCGCCUGAUUCAGGUCCGGUGGGCUUGCCUCCGGCUGCAGCGGCAACGAUGUCUCCAUGCCUACAUCCUCCCCCAGCGCAGCCACACACACGAGGCGUGCAGCCACGGGCGUCGGGCGUGUGCGGCUUCACCGGCGUUGCUCGGUCGCAUGGCUCUGCUGCUAAUGGUGUGGACUAGCCACAUCAUAUUGCUACUACUGCAAGAUAAAUAGAUCAAGGUGAAUAGAUGCUCAUGGACUGAUUCAAACCGAGGUGAAGAUAGACAAGACGUCAAGCAAGAAGGGCUAACACAACAAGGUACUUGAUUAGUACCUGAUGGCGCAUGCGACCCAAAGGGCUUCACCGCAGUGAAGGACAACAGUGUGGCAGAAGGUGAAAAGGCAAGUGGUGGUGGUACUCCAUUGUAUAUGUGUGUGUGAGGUGGAAUGGACCACAGUGAAAGGAAUGGCUCCUAUUUAUAGUGGGCUUAGUAGCUAUGUCGGUUUGGAGAGGCAUUACAUCUGGCAUGCAUGCGUGGUUAGGCUUGCAUGCAUGCCUCCACUUGUGUCUCUUGUAGGCUGUACUAGGGACAAGUGUAAUUUGCUUGACUGGCCAUUAGUUGGCAUUUACUUUAUGUGAAAAAAAAAUGAGACCAAGAUCUGAUUAUAAAUUUGUAGAAUAC